rnacentral:rRNA from 1 species
UACGGAGGGUGCAAGCGUUAUCCGGAUUCACUGGGUUUAAAGGGUGCGUAGGUGGGUUGGUAAGUCAGUGGUGAAAUCCCCGAGCUUAACUUGGAAACUGCCAUUGAUACUAUCAGUCUUGAAUAUUGUGGAGGUUAGCGGAAUAUGUCAUGUAGCGGUGAAAUGCUUAGAUAUGACAUAGAACACCAAUUGCGAAGGCAGCUGGCUACGCAUAUAUUGACACUGAGGCACGAAAGCGUGGGGAGCAAACAGG